rnacentral:lncRNA from 1 species
GGGAGUUUUGGGCAGACAUGAGGGCCUUAAAAAAGCUCUCCCACUUUGACCUUGGCUUCAUGUCACCACCAUGCUGAAAGGACCACCUACAGCUUAGAGGAAUGGGGAGGUAUGGGUAGAGAGGUUUCUGGGAAAGGGGAAAAACGGAGGAGGCUGAGAGAGGUUUGGGGAAUUUUUGAGAGAGAGAAGGAUGAGAAGGGGAGAAAGAGAGAGUCGGGAUUGAGGGGGGUUUUUCAAUGAGUUUUGAGAAGAGAGUGCGGGAAAGGGAGCUCAGAGUAGAGCUGAUUCUUGGGUCCAUUUUUUAGAGAGAAAGCAGCGGUUGGUGCUAGAAGAGAUGGGAUAACAGAGCAUUCGAAAACGAGAGAGAGAGAAGAGAGUUGGACUUUUAGAAGAAAAUAGAGGAGUUGAGGGAGGAAGCGGAGGUUGGAGCUUGCAGGGAAAGAUUUUUCUGGGGAGGCGGAGGAGAGCUCACGGGGGAAAUCAUCUUCAGUAGCGGGCAAGAGCGAAUGAGAGGAGGCCAAACACCAAAUGAGCGUCUUCUCCAUACCAUCAUCUUCUCUACCAACAUAAGGAGCUUUGAGAAGACGCUACGGAGGGCCGAGUAGAAGAACUAGCAUAGGUCUUCUUCAAAGCAGCCACCUCUUCAACGUUGCCAUUCGCGAGUCCAUGUAGCACACAAUAGUUGCAGAUCACAUCCGCCAACUAUAAUCUUUUGGGAAUGCAGCAACCCAUCUCGACACCAUCUCGUCCAUAGCCCUAAAACCAGAUUCAAACAGUGUUGAACCUCUUUGAAUUUAAGGUUUGGCUCAGCCAUUUUGGUCAUUUGUUUUGGCUUGAAGUUUCGUGUUUUUGUCUUGAGGUCUUAGCCAAAACUGGUAGGAUUUAAGGGCCUAAAAGGCCACCAUUUUCACUGUGUUUUGAAGGGAGUUUGGAAUGUUAAUAAAUCAUGUUUGUUUUUGGAAGAAUAUUUAUUUUAAUAUCUCAUAUCUCUAAAGUCUCAAAA